rfam:Oikopleura dioica, whole genome shotgun assembly, reference scaffold set, scaffold scaffold_35
GCCUUGAUAGCUCAGUUGGGAGAGCGUCAGACUGAAGAUCUGAAGGUCCUGUGUUCGAUCCACAGUCAAGGCA